UACAGAGGGGGCAAGCGUUAUUCGGAAUUAUUGGGCGUAAAGGGCGCGUAGGCGGCCUGGCAAGUGGAAGGUGAAAUCCCUCGGCUUAACCGAGGAACUGCCUUCCAAACUGCUUGGCUUGAGUCCGGGAGAGGUGAGUGGAAUUCCCAGUGUAGCGGUGAAAUGCGUAGAUAUUGGGAAGAACACCGGUGGCGAAGGCGGCGACCUGGUCCUUGACUGACGCUGAGGCGCGAAAGCGUGGGGAGCAAACAGG
rnacentral:rRNA from 1 species